UAUUUAUUAAGCGGCAUGUCAUUCUGUAUACUACUUAUUAAACAAGUGUGAAAAAACAACAGCAGUGACUAAGGUUUAUAAAAUAUGCAGAUGAAAUGUUUUCAUAACGACUACGUAGUGUUGCGGUCGGCAUACAUUUUUUCUACCACAGAAAUGCUUCGACACUGAAAUUUAGAAUUCGUGAUUUCGUACAGACUGUUCUUUUAAACGUGCGAGCGUCGAAAAACCUGAACGGGGCAUUUCAAUUUUCCUAAACUCAAAUUAAUACAAAGGGUGGGACAGCACGGAGCCAAAAAAACACAGCGGGGAAACAGACUGAACACGUUCCCGUCAAGGAGACAACCUGUAGCCCGUUCGCACGGCGCGUCACGGGCCCGGCUCCCGGCGUCCUUUCCCGCUGAGAUUUACGGCAUUUUCUCUCCGCUAUAAGCUGGUUUUAACCAUUACCCUGGUUACCAGUCUCUGCGUCUGCUACCUUACUUGGUCUUUAAUGAGCUCUGCAUCUUCCUGGGUCAUUCUCAGGUUACCGGGGUAACAGAAAGUCGGUGACCGCCGGCCGCCACGCAACCCGACGCACGCGGGAUGGACCACAACACCGGUACCGCACUGAAAUCCGAAGGCUCUAUCAUUGAUUCUCAACCCAUGGGUUGCGACAAGUUAUGAAGGGGUCAUGAGGAAGAGUGGAAAUGGAGGAGGUGGAUUGGUUGUCCAUAUGGUGCAGGGACAACAGCCUGUCUCUCAACGUCAACAAGACUAGAGAGAUUAUUGCGGACUUCAGGAAGACACGUCCUGCCCACAUCCCACUGAGUAUCAAUGGGUCAGCUGAGGAGAUCGUAAUGAGUACCAAGUUCCUCGGUGCGCACAUAGCUGAGGAACUUACAUGGAUGAACAACACCACCUCCUUAACCAAGAAACCACAGCAGAUAUGCCACUUCCUGUGACGGCUGAAGCAGGCGAGCUUCCCCACUCCCAUUCUAACUACCUUUUACAGAGGCACCAUCGUGAGUGUUCUAACCAGCUGCAUCACUACCUGGUAUGGAAACUGCAAAACGUCCGACCACAAGCGCAUGCAGCGAAUAGUGAGAACAGCUGAGAACAUUAUCGGUGUGCCUCUCCCCUCACUUCAGGACACGUUUCACAAGCGCAGUGUUUGCAACAUUGUGUAGAACCCCUCACACCCGUCACAUGGACUUUUCACCCUUCUGCCAUCCAGGGGGAGAUUCUGAAGCAUAAGAACCAGGUCGACCAGGUUGCGGGACAAUCUUUAUCCCCAGGCUGUCAGAUUCCUUAACACCACACCGCCCCCUGGGAUCCUCAACAUUGCCUCAUCCGCCCCUUAAAAUACACAUGAGAACUCCUACACAUGCACAGCCACUUUUCCCGUACGCACACCAAAAGGACUGGAAAUUCACAUUCCAUCCGUCUAAGUAUUUUUGCACGCUACACUUGUCUCUUUGUCAUGGCUGCAGUUUAAACAAUCAUCAUUGUCCUGUACUGUGUCUAUUGAUUAACUUUGCUGUUAAAUAUUCUCUCUGUUACACAUGCUCUUAAACAUGUACUAUAAACAUCUGUUAUUACACACUGCUUCAAUACCGUAAGCAAUGCUGCUAUUUGGAUAAGCUUUGAAGGUCAAUUUUACUGCUACCUCAUAUUGCACUUUAUAUAUAUUUAAACAAUAUUUUUUCAUACCUAUAAAAACAUGACUUUACAUUUCAUCAAUGUACGUUACUCAUUACAACGCCAUGCUGCUGCGACUUCUCUGUCUUGUCUUAUUUGCAGUAGUAUCUGUACACUGCAGACCCCGAGCUUCACCCUUUUCCUCUCACUGUAUAAUUUAUAUGGUUGAGAUAACAAUAAA